UACGUAGGGUGCAAGCGUCAAUCGGAAUUACUGGGCGUAAAGCGUGCGCAGGCGGUUAUGCAAGACAGAUGUGAAAUCCCCGGGCUCAACCUGGGAACUGCAUUUGUGACUGCAUAGCUAGAGUACGGUAGAGGGGGAUGGAAUUCCGCGUGUAGCAGUGAAAUGCGUAGAUAUGCGGAGGAACACCGAUGGCGAAGGCAAUCCCCUGGCUCGAUCCUGACGCUGAGGCGCGAAAGCGUGGGGAGCGAACGGG
rnacentral:rRNA from 1 species